CAUGCCUCCACUAUGUCUCCACUAAGCCUCAUCGUGCCUCCACCGUAGCUUCACCAUUUUUGCUUGAAGUUUAAGUAUAAAGGAAGGAUUUUAUCUUGGUCCUCCACCAAAAGACAAACUUCCCAAGAACUCUCUACAAGGAUCUGUGUUGGUGGGAUCAAUAUCAUAUGGUAAACUAUCAUUUGCUGGUCUACAGGAUGGUAAACGUCCAGAAAAGCAUCCUGUGUCACAUCAAGUUUCUUA